rnacentral:lncRNA from 1 species
CAUCUGUUUUUCUACGAGAUGUAUUGUUUCUGCAUUAAACUAGCUCAGGAAAAGUAAAGUUGAAUAGAAAUCGUAUGGGGGAACUCCUUGGCAGUAGAUAAGCGCGUGAGCUGAUAUUGAUUGCAUUGGUUUGCAAAGCCCAUUACCAUCAAAUGAAUGCAGCUGACCUUGAGAGCCUGCGGGAGCCACAGGACGGAGUCGCACCAAGUGUGGGAUUAGGAAGACGAUGGGGAUCUUCAGGGUUACAACACACAGCAGCUGUCUCUGCACAAGUGCCAGCCUUACCGUUAACAAGACGAUAAAUUGACUGAUUACUAUUUCAGUACUAUUAAGGUUGAACCGAAUUAUGCCAGGAUUCAGAUUCGCGGUUUCCAUCAGUUAUGUUACAGCUCAGAGAAGCAAUUGGGCCAGGGGUGACCAUAGACAAUGACGACCUCCUGUAAUACAGCCAGAGAUGGAAGAGAUGUGCUGCCACCACUCAUCCCUUGGCACUCGUAGCAGCACAAGAUUCUCAAAUAAUUGAAAUCAAGACAAUUUUUCAAAUACGAAGAGAAAGCUAAGGUUGGCAAUACAGUACCCAGUCUCUACCUGCAGCUGCGAUAAUGAUGACACAUGUCACGUCCACAUCUAGAAGUUCUGCCUUGCGGAGAAAAGUUCCUGUAAGGCAGCACAGCAUGCUCAUUUUCCCAGGCACGAACGUCCCAGUGGAUUUAACUAGAGCUGCAGAUGCUUAGCUCACCGAACUCAGAGCCGUCAGCGCAUGAAGUGGAAACAGGGCUUGCUAUACUAGGCCUUUCCUACAUCAACUAUGAUUAAACAUUUUUUACCAACAUUGGUUUCUCUGAACUUCUUGUAAGCGGAUUUUUUUUUUCCAAAGGUAGGCCAAAAUUUGAUGUGGGAUCUCAAUUUCAUGAGCUCCAGUGAGUCAGGAGGAAAGGUGUGAUACUGAGUCCCAAUCCACCCCACGCUGACUUUGCUAGCAAGAGGGCACAGCACAGCAGGGCUCGCUUUCUCUGGGAGCCUUAUCCUGUCAGACAAGUUACCUAAGGAUAAUGUUUAUGCUUCGCUUUAG